rnacentral:rRNA from 1 species
AUGAGGUUAUGGUCAAGCGCGAAUGCAGACUCUCGGCAUUUCCGAGAGAGCAUUCGGUUCUUCAACAGGCACUUUGCCUUCACUACCCUUGGCGUCAGCCUAGACAACAACUACACAAACAUGAAGUCCGGGGUGUACACGUUUCGGGCACAUGGCACUAUGUACCACAAGGUGCACUCGUUCGGUCCAAGAUCUCGCCCUGAACAUCUGCAGUUGUACUUCUACGAUGACGAUCCCAGCUUAAGCCAUCGCAAGGAGGCCACCAAGCAAUUGGACCAGCACGUUGUCAGCAAGUUAGUGGACGUCCUGAGGGAAAACCCCUACUCCCAACAGUUUAGGAGUUUGGGUGCCCACAAGGAAAACCUCGAGGAGUAC